rnacentral:rRNA from 1 species
GACAGAGGGUGCAAACGUUGCUCGGAAUUACUGGGCGUAAAGCGCGUGUAGGUGGAUUGGUGUGUCAGAUGUGAAAUCCCUGGGCUCAACCCAGGAACUGCACCUGAAACUACCAGUCUUGAGUGGUGGAGAGGGAAGUGGAAUUCCUGGUGUAGAGGUGAAAUUCGUGGAUAUCAGGAGGAACACCAGUGGCGAAGGCGGCUUCCUGGACACCAACUGACGCUGAGACGCGAAAGCGUGGGGAGCAAACAGG